UUAUGGCCAUAUCACAUUAAAACAACAGUUCCCGUACGAUCACCAAGGUUAAGCAAUGUUGAGCCUGGUCAGUACCUAAAUGGGUGACUGCUUGGAUGUGUCGAUGGUG